GGGUCUGAUCAUACCAACGUUAAUGCACCGGAUCCCAUCAGAACUCCGUAGUUAAGCGCACUUGGGUUAGAGUAGUAUUGGGAUGGGAGACCUCUCGGGAAGUCCUAGUAUUGCACCCU
rnacentral:rRNA from 1 species